rnacentral:snoRNA from 1 species
AUCUUUUUGUAGUUUAUGAACAUGAUGACUGGGUGUUCAUGGGCAUGUGUGAGAUAUGCCACCCUCAAACCUUGUUAUGACGUUGGCACAUUGUCAGUCUGACA